rnacentral:rRNA from 1 species
GAGGGGGGCUGCUCCUAGUACGAGAGGACCGGAGUGGACGCAUCUCUGGUGUACCGGUUGUGACGCCAGUCGCAUCGCCGGGUAGCUAUAUGCGGAAGAGAUAAACGCUGAAAGCAUCUAAGCGUGAAACUCGCCUCAAGAUGAGACUUUCCUGGAGACUUGAUCUCCCUGAAGGGCCGUGGAAGACCACCACGUUGAUAGGUCGGGUGUGGAAGCGCAGUAAUGCGUUAAGCUAACCGAUACUAAUUACCCGUGAGGCUUGAUCCU